ACAACAUGUUCUACCCUAAUGGCUGAAUGGAUAUAAAUUGUCUUCUGAUUGUGUUAGGAACAUGUGGUUAGGAGCUUGCCAUGCUGCCACGCCUUUACAUUCCCACUCUACAGCAGGACGGCACUGUGGCUGCCCUGGGCCCUGCUUUCGAGAGAGGAGGAAACCGAGAGUCCUGCCAGAAAGUGUGCAAGGCUUCCUCUCUCGGACGCUCAGGAAGCAAGCCUGGCUCAGUUUCCUGCCUGCACGCCGGCCCAUUCAGAGCCAAUCAGGAAUGGAUAGCACUGUGAUGACCAGGCACUGAAUCAAAAGGAAAAAGAGUCAAAAUUAUGGCACAUAUUUGUAUGAUUAGAUUUCAGUGGAGCAAGUGAUUUUUUUAAAGGGAGUUUGACAUGCAGCUCUGUGUGAGUCGUGUUUUUUGAGCCUUCUAGAUUAAUGAUGAUCUCUGGAGAAUGAAAUCAAAUGGCCACUAACAGUUUUUAUAAGAGUUUUCUGGAACCAUUUUUGUUGUAAAUACAUUUGUUUGGGGAAAAAAAUUCCCAAUGUAACCCUGGUUGGGAACCAAUGCCAAAGAAUGUAGCUAAAACGUUUUCAAAACGACUUUGUUUACCGACGAUGAAACUCAGAAAUGCAUGUCUGUAUAUUCUCAGUUCAACAUCAACAAGGAGUUUCAUAAACAUCUCGCUGUAGCCUCCAUCUCCUCAACGAUGAAGGAGUUGACAGCGCAAAAUAGGUUGAAUUCCGUGGGGGAGUUUUGAAUUCUGCUUUUUUCUGUCAGUUCAUGUGGAAUUAAUUGGUUUGGUAAUUCUCCUGGUAGUCUGCCAAUUUAAAAUCUGUGAACAUUUGACAUCAUGCAGGUCAUGUGUUGUGAGCACAAUUCAUGAUUCGUUGGAUGUGAAAUAUGUUUGCAAUGACAGAAACAGUAAUUACGGCAAUAUUUAUAGCUGUUAAUCAAGAAUUUCUUUUUCUUUCCUCAUAAAAUGUCUUAAACGGCCGCUUGAGGUCCACUACAGCCUUAAUAUUGAAAUGACAAAUAUGUUAGUGGCU